rnacentral:rRNA from 1 species
UACGUAGGGUGCAAGCGUUGUCCGGAAUUAUUGGGCGUAAAGGGCUCGUAGGCGGUCCAUCACGUCGGGAGUGAAAAGCUGGGGCUUAACCCUGAGCCUGCUUCCGAUACGGGCAGACUAGAGGUAUGCAGGGGAGAACGGAAUUCCUGGUGUAGCGGUGGAAUGCGCAGAUAUCAGGAGGAACACCGGUGGCGAAGGCGGUUCUCUGGGCAUUACCUGACGCUGAGGAGCGAAAGUGUGGGGAGCGAACAGG